rnacentral:misc_RNA from 1 species
GAUGAAGAACGUAGCGAAAUGCGAUAAGUAAUGUGAAUUGCAGAAUUCAGUGAAUCAUCGAAUCUUUGAACGCACCUUGCGCCCUUUGGCUAUUCUGAAGGGCAUGCCUGUUUGAGUAUCGUGAACACCUCAACUCUCAUGGUCUGCCAUGAUGAGCUUGGACUUUGGGGGUCUUGCUUGCCUACUGUCAGCUCCUCUCAAAUGAAUCAGCUUACCAGUGUUUGGUGGCACCACAGGUGUGAUAACUAUCUACGCUUGUGGUUUUCUGCCAGGUAACCUCCAGUGAUGGAGGUUCGCUGGAGCUCACAAAUGUCUCUCCUCAGCGAGGACAGCUUUUUGAACGUUUGAUCUCAAAUCAGGUAGGACUACCCGCUGAACUUAAGCAUAUCAAUAAGCGGAGGA